rnacentral:lncRNA from 1 species
AUGGGAUGGAGGUGGAUACCACACCAACAGUUGCUGGACAGUUUGAGGAUGCAGAUGUUGAUCACUGAAAAUGAUUUAUGCAAGUUUAAGAAGGAGUAUCUGGGCCUUUCAGCUUCUACAGUGGAAGGACGCUGCCGCUGUGCAGAUGCUCACAGUACCCCAGAAGUCCUCAUGCUAGAGAUGUAAAAAGGCAUAUUCCUAUAAGAAAAACAGCCAUGAAACAGAAGUCAUGAGACAUCAAUCAAUAUAUGUAAGAAGAACGUUGGUUCAGUCUGGAAAGGCAUGACAUCUUGAAGCAGGAAGGGGGCUUCCAGGUCAUAGGAAAAAGGAGGAAAAAAAUGUACUGGGGAACAAGACAAGAUCAAUCAGACUCUGCCACUCUUCUGCUGAUCCAGCUCAACUAUGAUCUUUUUUG